rnacentral:rRNA from 1 species
GACAGAGGUGCCGAGCGUUAGGCGGAAUCACUGGGCUUAAAGCGUGUGUAGGCGGGUCGUUAAGUGUCUUGUGAAAUCCCACCGCUCAACGGUGGAACCGCUGGGCAUACUGGCGAUCUUGAGCAGUCCAGGGGCGAGCGGAACAAGCGGUGGAGCGGUGAAAUGCGUAGAUAUCGCUUGGAACGCCAAAGGUGAAAACAGGUUGCUGGGGAUGUUCUGACACUGAGACGCGAAAGCCAGGGGAGCGAACGGG